GACGAACGCUGGCGGCGUGCUUAACACAUGCAAGUCGAACGGAAAGGCCCUGCUUUUGUGGGGUGCUCGAGUGGCGAACGGGUGAGUAACACGUGAGUAACCUGCCCUUGACUUUGGGAUAACUUCAGGAAACUGGGGCUAAUACCGGAUAGGAGCUCCUGCUGCAUGGUGGGGGUUGGAAAGUUUCGGCGGUUGGGGAUGGACUCGCGGCUUAUCAGCUUGUUGGUGGGGUAGUGGCUUACCAAGGCUUUGACGGGUAGCCGGCCUGAGAGGGUGACCGGCCACAUUGGGACUGAGAUACGGCCCAGACGCCUACGGGAGGCAGCAGUGGGGAAUAUUACACAAUGGGCGGAAGCCUGAUGCAGCAACGCCGCGUGCGGAAUGACGGCCUUCGGGUUGUAAACCGCUUUCGCCUGUGACGAAGCGUGAGUGACGGUAAUAGGUAAAGAAGCACCGGCUAACUACGUG
rnacentral:rRNA from 1 species